GGCAAGUAGGGAAGCCAAAAUGCCACGGCACUUGAUGAUCAGUAGCAUCUCUCCUAGAAGGCCUACUAUCCUUGAGCGAAUUAAGAGCGUUUGGGCCUAUGUGGUCCGUAUCUUCAGGCUUAUUUUCAGCGAGUAUUGGCCAGAUGACGAUUCAGACGAGGAUUCAAUUGAGAUAGGUAGUCCAAGGAAGGAAGAAAGGG